UCUGGCAACCAUGGCGAAAGGGGUACACCCGUUCCCAUCCCGAACACGGCCGUUAAGCCUUUCAGCGCCGAUGGUACUGCUAUCUGCAAGGAUGUGGGAGAGUAGGUGUUGCCAGAG
rnacentral:rRNA from 1 species